rfam:Oryza meridionalis cultivar OR44 (W2112) chromosome 2, whole genome shotgun sequence.
NNNNNNNNNAGCUAUGAGUUUCCGUAUUCAACUUUGAUCGUCCGUCUUAUUUGAAAUUUUUUAUGAUUAGUAUUUUUAUUGUUAUUAUAUUAUAAAAUAUGAAUAAUACUUUAUGCGUGACUUAUGCUUUUUAGUUUUUCAAGAAAAAAACAAAUAAGAUGGACGAUUAAAGUUGGACACGAAAACUUAUGGCUGUGCUUAUU